CAAAGUUCUGGUAAUAUUCUUUUUGUUCCCAAGUAUAAAACGGAACACUGUGCACUCUUUUUAUUUAUAUCUAAAAUUAACCCGUCUACACAUUAAAAACUUUUGAAAAGCUUAUAUAAAAAAGAAGAUGUGAUAUGAUUGCCUAUGAGACAACUCUCUACAAGAGACCAAAUGACACAACUAUAGGUCACCGUACGGCCUUCAACAAGGAACAAAGCCCA
rnacentral:lncRNA from 1 species